CACGUAGGGUGCGAGCGUUGUCCGGAAUUAUUGGGCGUAAAGAGCUCGUAGGCGGUGUGUCGCGUCGGCCGUGAAAACUCACAGCUUAACUGUGGGCGUGCGGGCGAUACGGGCAGACUGGAGUACUGCAGGGGAGACUGGAAUUCCUGGUGUAGCGGUGGAAUGCGCAGAUAUCAGGAGGAACACCGGUGGCGAAGGCGGGUCUCUGGGCAGUAACUGACGCUGGAGGAGCGAAAGCGUGGGGAGCGAACAGG
rnacentral:rRNA from 1 species